rnacentral:lncRNA from 1 species
ACCAUCUCCCACUCCUGCAGCUCUUCUCACAGGACCAGCCACUAGCGCAGCCUCGAGCGAUGGCCUAUGUCCCCGCACCGGGCUACCAGCCCACCUACAACCCGGUGAGAUGCCAGCUCAGGCCCCACUCCGCCCGCAGCUCCGUCCAUAAGCCCUCACACCAAUUUUCCCCACUCUGAUCCUGGGGGGCCCCAUCUGACUCUGUGGUCUGAUUUACCCAAAGCUGACCCCGACCCUCGAUUUACUCCUACCCUGACCUCAGGCUGUCUGUGUCCACGUCUAACUGUUGGCCCUCGUCAUCUUCAACCUGGUCCUCCCCCAUGGUUUCCUCUCUCCUGCUUAAGGGACUGGGGGGCUUUUCUGGGAGGGGUAAAGGCUGCAACAGGCAGAUGGCUUGUGAGUCCCCUCACCAGGCCUCUUCUCCAGACGCUGCCUUACUACCAGCCCAUCCCGGGCGGGCUCAACGUGGGAAUGUCUGUUUACAUCCAAGGAGUGGCCAGCGAGCACAUGAAGCGGUUCUUCGUGAACUUUGUGGUUGGGCAGGAUCCGGGCUCAGACGUCGCCUU